rnacentral:rRNA from 1 species
UACGAAGGGUGCAAACGUUAUUCGGAAUCACUGGGCGUAAAGGGUGCGUAGACGGCAUGUUAAGUUCGUUGUUAAAGGCUCCGGCCUAACCGGAGUACCGCGAUGAAAACUGGCGUACUAGAGGGUGAGAGAGAGAAGUGGAAUUCCUGGAGUAGCGGUAAAAAUGCGUGGAUCUCAGGAGGAACACCAAUGGCGAAGGCAGCUUCUUGGCUCAUUCCUGACGUUGAGGCACGAAAGCGUGGGGAGCAAACAGGG